AUGUUCUGGUUUCUCUGCAGAUUGUACAAAUAUUUUGCUUUUUACUAACGAUUUCCGUGGAGACGAACUGGCACGAAUGUCAAGAAUAUUUUUUUUUUUCUUCUUCUCAUUAGCAA